rnacentral:rRNA from 1 species
AGAGGGUGCGAGCGUUGUCCGGAAUUACUGGGCGUAAAGGGCGCGUAGGCGGCUUGGUAAGUCGGGGGUGAAAGUCAGCGGCUCAACCGCUGGACUGCCUUCGAGACUGCCUGGCUUGAGCAUGGUAGAGGCUGGCGGAAUUCCCGGUGUAGCGGUGGAAUGCGUAGAGAUCGGGAAGAACAUCGGUGGCGAAGGCGGCCAGCUGGGCCAUUGCUGACGCUGAGGCGCGACAGCGUGGGGAGCAAACAGGAUUAGAUACCCUGGUAGUCCACGCCGUAAACGAUGGGUACUAGGCGUCGGGGGGAGCGACCCCUUCGGUGCCGUCGUUAACACAGUAAGUACCCCGCCUGGGGAGUACGGCCGCAAGGGGG